AACAGGAUUAGAUACCCUGGUAGUCCACGCCCUAAACGAUGUCUACUAGUUGUUGGGUCUUAAUUGACUUAGUAACGCAGCUAACGCGUGAAGUAGACCGCCUGGGGAGUACGGUCGCAAGAUUAAAACUCAAAGGAAUUGACGGGGACCCGCACAAGCGGUGGAUGAUGUGGAUUAAUUCGAUGCAACGCGAAGAACCUUACCUACCCUUGACAUGGAUGGAAUCCCGGAGAGAUCUGGGAGUGCUCGAAAGAGAACCAUCACACAGGUGCUGCAUGGCUGUCGUCAGCUCGUGUCGUGAGAUGUUGGGUUAAGUCCCGCAACGAGCGCAACCCUUGUCAUUAGUUGCUACGCAAGAGCACUCUAAUGAGACUGCCGGUGACAAACCGGAGGAAGGUGGGGAUGACGUCAAGUCCUCAUGGCCCUUAUGGGUAGGGCUUCACACGUCAUACAAUGGUACAUACAGAGGGCCGCCAACCCGCGAGGGGGAGCUAAUCCCAGAAAGUGUAUCGUAGUCCGGAUCGCAGUCUGCAACUCGACUGCGUGAAGUUGGAAUCGCUAGUAAUCGCGGAUCAGCAUGUCGCGGUGAAUACGUUCCCGGGUCUUGUACACACCGCCCGUCACACCAUGGGAGCGGGUUUUACCAGAAGUAGGUAGCUUAACCGCAAGGGGGGCGCUUACCACGGCAGGAUUCGUGACUGGGGUGAAGUCGUAACAAGGUAACC
rnacentral:rRNA from 1 species